rnacentral:rRNA from 1 species
AUGGAUGAUGAGAAGGAAAAAAUUAAGAAGGAAAACACAGAUAAAGCUAAGCGCCAUGUAUGGAAAUCUUCAGAGGACAAAAUACUGCUGAAUAUAUUAAAAGAUCAAAGCCUACAUGGAGGAAAAGAAGGAACAGGUUACACAAAGAAAGCAUGGCGUGAUAUCUUAGAACAACUCAAUGAUUCAAGGGUAGAAAAACUUGAAUUACAACAACUGAAAAAUCGUCAUAAGUACUACAGGAGUUGCUACAGCACCAUGGACAGACUUCUAAAACUCACGGGAUUUGGUUGGGAUGACGAUGACAAAAUGAUAAAAGCUCCAGAAGAUAUUUGGGAAGAACUAAUUAAGAAGGAUAAGGCUAUCCAAGAAUAUCGAGAUAAGGUGUGGCCUAGUUGGAUAGAUCUUCAAGCCAUAUGUGCUAGUUCAACAGCAUCUGGAGCUGGUGAUGUAUCUAGCAAAGGAAAAGAUGGUACAUGUACGACCAAAUCUUCACAAAUUGAUCUCAAUACGGAAGUUGAAGUACAUGACAUCGAUUCUGAUGAAAUCAAUGCUUCCCCUGGUGUCUUCACCAAGAAGUCAACUACCAUUGAGCCAGAAAAAAAGAAGUCCCCUGGAAGUGGAUCCAAGGAAACUGAAAGAGGAUAA